UGAUCCAGCCAUACCGCGUGGGUGAAGAAGGCCUUCGGGUUGUAAAGCCCUUUUGUUGGGAAAGAAAUCCAGCCGGUUAAUACCUGGUUGGGAUGACGGUACCCAAAGAAUAAGCACCGGCUAACUUCGUGCCAGCAGCCGCGGUAAUA
rnacentral:rRNA from 1 species